GAUGAACGCUGGCGGCGUGCCUAAUACAUGCAAGUCGAGCGAACAGACGAGGAGCUUGCUCCUCUGACGUUAGCGGCGGACGGGUGAGUAACACGUGGAUAACCUACCUAUCAGACUGGGAUAACUUCGGGAAACCGGAGCUAAUACCGGAUAAUAUAUUGAACCGCAUGGUUCAAUAGUGAAAGACGGUUUUGCUGUCACUUAUAGAUGGAUCCGCGCCGCAUUAGCUAGUUGGUAAGGUAACGGCUUACCAAGGCAACGAUGCGUAGCCGACCUGAGAGGGUGAUCGGCCACACUGGAACUGAGACACGGUCCAUACUCCUACGGGAGGCAGCAGUAGGGAAUCGUCCGCAAUGGGCGAAAGCCUGACGGAGCAACGCCGAGUGAGUGAUGAAGGUCUUCGGAGCGGAAAACUCUGUUAUUAGGGAAGAACAAAUGUGUAAGUAACUAUGCACGUCUUGACGGUACCUAAUCAGAAAGCCACGGCUAACUACGUG
rnacentral:rRNA from 1 species